rnacentral:piRNA from 1 species
GCGGAUGGUAGAGUCCAAGAAUGC